rnacentral:rRNA from 1 species
CGGUCCUGAGUAAAGUGGCGCACGGGUGAGUAACGCGUGGAUAAUCUGCCCUAUGAUCGGGAUAACAGUUGGAAACGGCUGCUAAUACCGGAUACGCUCAAAAUGAACUUUUUGAGGAAAGAUGGCCUCUGCUUGCAUGCUAUCACGUAAGGAUGAGUCCGCGUCCCAUUAGCUUGUUGGCGGGGUAACGGCCCACCAAGGCAACGAUGGGUAGCCGAUUUGAGAGGAUGAUCGGCCACACUGGAACUGAAACACGGUCCAGACUCCUACGGGAGGCAGCAGUGGGGAAUAUUGCGCAAUGGGCGAAAGCCUGACGCAGCGACGCCGCGUGAGGGAUGAAAAGGGUUUUCGGAUCGUAAACCUCUGUCAGAAGGGAAGAAACUACGUUGUGCUAAUCAGCAGCGUACUGACGGUACCUUCAAAGGAAGCACCGGCUAACUCCGUGCCAGCAGCAGC